rnacentral:rRNA from 1 species
UCAUACUCGUGGCGGAAGCUCAGUACACGUGCCCAACAACCCUGUGGACGGAAAUACUCUCGGGAAACUGAGGCUAAUGUCCGAUACAGCUUCCAUCCUGGAGUGGAGGAAGCUCGAAACGUUCCGGCGCCACAGGAUGCGGCUGCGGCCGAUUAGGUUGACGGUGGGGUAACGGCCCACCGUGCCAGUAAUCGGUACGGGUGAUGGAAGUCAGAGCCCGGAGACGGUAUCUGAGACAAGAUGCCGGGCCCUACGGGGCGCAGCAGGCGCGAAACCUUUACACUGCACGACAGUGCGAUAGGGGGACUCCGAGUGCGAGGGCAUACAGUCCUCGCUUUUCUGUACCGUAAGGUGGUACAAGAAUAAGGGCUGGGCAAGACCGGUGCCAGCCGCCGCGGUAAUACCGGCAGCCCGAGUGAUAGCCAAUUUUAUUGGGCCUAAAGCGUCCGUAGCUGGCCAGACAAGUCUGUUGGGAAAUCCACAUGCUUAACAUGUGGGCGUCCAGCGGAAACUGUCUGGCUUGGGGCCGGAGGACUCGAGGGGUACGUUCGGGAUAGGAGUGAACUCCCGCAAUCCUGAACGGACCACCGGCGGCAAAAGCGCCU